rnacentral:rRNA from 1 species
UAGUCCACGCCCUAAACGAUGUCAACUAGACGUUGGGCUCAUUGAAGAGCUUAGUGUCGAAGCUAACGCGUUAAGUUGACCGCCUGGGGAGUACGGCCGCAAGGCUGAAACUCAAAGGAAUUGACGGGGGCCCGCACAAGCGGUGGAGCAUGUGGUUUAAUUCGAUGCAACGCGAAGAACCUUACCAGCCCUUGACAUCCUCGGAACUUGGUAGAGAUACCUUGGUGCCUUCGGGAAUCGAGUGACAGGUGCUGCAUGGCUGUCGUCAGCUCGUGUCGUGAGAUGUUGGGUUAAGUCCCGCAACGAGCGCAACCCUCAUCCUUAGUUGCCAUCAUUUAGUUGGGCACUUUAAGGAAACUGCCGGUGAUAAGCCGGAGGAAGGUGGGGAUGACGUCAAGUCCUCAUGGGGCCCUUACAGGGCUGGGGUUACACACGUGCUACAAUGGUAUCUACAGUGAGCAGCGAUCCCG